UCUUUUCUUUUGAUAAGAGAGUUUUUAAAACCAGUGUUAUUUAUGUAAGUUUAAGAGAAGUUUAUGUAUUAAAUUAUUGAUAUUAAAUAGGUUUAUUAGGCUUAGACUUAAUUUUAGGUCAUUUUGGGGGUUUAGCUCAGUUGGCUAGAGCAUCGGCUUUGCAAGCCGAGGGUCAAGGGUUCGAGUCCCUUAACCUCCAUUGGGCUUAUGCCCUAAAUUGUAAUUAAGUAUGUUUUUAAGUAACUUUGUUAAAGUAAUUGUUGGAAUGUGAAACGCAAGAAGUUAAAAUUUCUGGGUUAAGUUGAGAUCUGUUGAUAUUAAGAAAAAUGUCUAGAAGCAAAAGCAAGCUUUCGAUAAAACCCGAAGUUGUUUCGCUAAAGUGCAAGGAUUAAACAGGAUUGUAUUUUUCAGCAGCCUAUUUUAUAAACGAUCUGCAUUUAGUAAAUAGUUUUUAGUUAGGAAAUAAUGUAGAUUACUAAGUGUGAUGUCUGAGAGAAGGACAAGUAUUGUAGCGAGCUUAAAUCCUUAUUAUCGUUGCCAGUAUUUAGUGGUAGGGAUUCGGAUAAGAUUGCCAGUUAUAAGUUGGAGGAAGGCAAAGAUUGCAUUAAAUCGUUAUCGCUCUUAUGUUUUAGGUUACAAGUUUGCAACAAUAACUCAAAAAAGCUAAGCAAAAUACUAUAAAGCAGAUUUCAGUUUGGAUUUGCCCGACACUCAAUGGCAUGAAGUUGUAAUUGUUAGUAAUCG
rnacentral:misc_RNA from 1 species